rnacentral:lncRNA from 1 species
GUCGAUCCGUUUAAGCUCCAAUCCAUAACUUCCCUCCAGUUUGUAGGAAGUUCAAUUUGUGAUGAAUCAGAUGUUUGUCUUUCCUCAGAACAUAAAUUCAUUUAUAUAGUGUGUAUCCCUAGACAUGAAAAUCUCUUUUUGCUAUCAAGCAGAGGGACAGUGCCCAAAGCCUUGUUACAUAGCAACCGUAAACUACUGUGUAAGAAAGUAUAACACUCACUUUAACACUGUAAAGUACUACUACAUGCCAUGACCAAAUUUAACAACACUAGUGCAUUUGGAUGCCGGUUAGAACUGUCUGAAGGUCUGCCAUUUGCUCAGCUUAAGCUUCGCCGGCUUUUGCCCAGCAGAGCCAUCAGCAUUAGCUUCUAACUCAGCAGAUCCUCCACGGUCUUCAUUCUUUUUAUGGUCCCGCUCCGACACUGCCUCGACCUUCUGCCGAGGAAGAUCAUUCUGGUACUGGCCGAGCAGAGCCCCGUUUUGGACUUCGUUGGAGGCCGGUUCAUUCUUGAAGGCUCUGUACACGUUCGGGUAUUGAGGGAUAUCGGGAUUGACGCUAAGCGUCUUUGAAAUUCUCGAGAUGUGUUCGAGGUAAUCAUCGGACGUGGUGUUCCAGCCAGGGAUGGAACUGGGAGUAUUUCCUAAGCUUCGACGCAUGUUUUCGCCUUUGCAGUGGUAUAGCGAAGGAACUUCCAUUUAUACGUGAAGGCGUGAGAUGCUUGUGCUAUAUUCUUGAAGUGACAUUGACGGCAUCUGAUUCCCUUUUCUAUAUUUGAAACAAGGAACAAGAACAUGUGCGGAACGUACCCAGAUAUAGGGCGGCGUCCAAGGCUCCUUGGAGAUUUAUUCCUUGACCGAUACGUCAUAAACUUGACACUUAAUCGUGUCAUAAUGCCCAGAUAUUUUUUUUUCCCUUUUUUGUCUCUAGAAGAUGCAUCACUUGGUUUUAAUAUCCUUUUAAAAGUACCAGAAAUAUAUUUGAGAGAUGAUAGGCGAUUCUGCGUAUUUCCUUAUUAUCCUAUAAAGCUUAUAGAUAGACCCGUGUAUUUUCAUUUGAUAAUGAACAGAAUAUUAUAUUUUUCUAUCAUUACAAUCUUCAACUCCAAUGUCGUAUGCGAUAGAUUUUAUCUAUAGCAACAAAAAGUAAAGAUAAACAAUACGGAUAAUCGAAGACAAUUUUGACCAAUAGUAAAUAUUCCCCUUGCUCAAAACCCACAAGAGAUUCAAUCUAAUCCACUAGUCAAAAGUCGUAUAAAGCUUGACCACUUGAUAUGUAGGAGCUCUGAAAGAGUACGUGAUGGACCCUUCAGCACCGCUGUGCCCUUGCUCGACGAGGUGACCGAUCCCGCGGAAAGCCACGGUCUCCAAGUCCAAAGCGGGCGAACCGGAGGGUGGAUUCACCGCCCACCUCUCGUCCGCGUCGUAGCAGAAUGGCCUGCUAGUUGAUGGGAAAUCAUGGGCAAUAGUUCCUCCGGGCCCUUUGAAUCUGUUCUCCAUGCCACAGGUGAGAUGGUAAUUAGAAGCCGGCCACCUAGCGAUUCCCCACAAUUAUCAAUGAGGGCAUGAUUAGAAGAAAAAAAUAGAAUCAUUAAAUCCCACAAUAGCCUAUCGAAAAUGCUAGUGCUGGUAUUUCUCUAAACUUGUCCAUAAAAAAUUCAUGAAAUGAUUUAACUUUUUCUCUGGAAUCUCUCAAAAAAGUUGUUCCAAACGAAUUCUUAGUAACUUCGCGAAUGUGCUUUUUGCCUUAUUCAAGCAAGGGCAGGGAGGAUGUUAGGAGUUUUGCAUGUUGUCUUAGAAUGUUUCUCACCAUUGUAAAUCCGAUCAUUUAAAGGAUUAAUAAUGUCUUGAAAGACUAAUUACGAUCCCAUGCCAUCCAAAAAACAAGGGACUGAUUCCAGAGGCUGAAGCAACAUCAGCCCGAGCAUUUAGCUUCUCCUAAUGUUUUCAACUUACUAUGUUCUUGAUUUCUAAAUUAGAAAUAAUAAUUAUAAAUAAAAAAAAAGACAAUCCUUAUACAUGUACGCCACGUUUCUGAAAAUUGCAAAAUAAUUCCUAUUUGUAAGAAUAAUUAUGACGAGUUAAUGUUUCGGUGUCUUGACUACACUGACACUUUAGAUUUGGUACUAUGCGAUUGGCCAUUUGGGGUUUCCCUCAAAGAAUUUGUAGUGGGACACCGCAUGGAAGGAGCCGAGGCCAGGGAGGUUCUGGCCUUUCUUGUUGGGCUCCAUCCAAGUGGUCCCAUUGACGAUAUCCGACACGCCACACCGCAGCAUCAUCAUUUUCAAAACCGUCUCAGGAUCCAAGGUUCUAGUAGCAUUUAGAUGAUGAUUGAGCUGAUAUACCUUGAUGGCAUCCUCUAGCAAAUCGUUGAAGUCGUCAUCACCGGUGUGGACUGAAUGUUCAGAUUGGUUGUAGUUCAAGCAGUGUUUAGAUGAUGAUUGAGUUGAUACAUCUUGACUACAUGCUCUAGCAAAUCGUCAAAGCCGUCAUCGCCAGUGUGGAUCAAAUGGUCAGAUUGGUUGUUCAAGUAAUCGAAUUUCUCAAGUUAUUGCUUGAGCUCGCAAAUACCUAGGGCGUGGUCGCCCUCGUGACAUCCCUCGAUGUGCUUGAGGAAAUCAAAGGCUGAUUUGGUUUGGACAUGGGAAUGUGCUAAAACGACAUGGAUGGUGAGAAGGAGGAGGAGCAAGUGGGAGAAGGUGGAAUGGGGUUUGUUAGGUCAUGUUUAGUGACGUUUCCAUUCCCCUAUUUUUCUAUUUUUUGUUUUAUUUUUUGAAACAAUAAAAAAAUAGAAAUUCAUUUGGAAAAGUCGACUAAUUUUUCUAUUUCCUGAAAUAGAUUAGUGGUCAAUGAAUAGAUUUAGAACAUGGAACCCUCAAUUUUUAUAUUCUGUCCCCAUAAAAGCGACAUACCCACCACUUUCCCCACUACUUUCCCUCUGAGCCAAGCCCUCAAUUUGCCCUCCACACCCUAACUCAUUUUUUCUAUUCUAUUUAUAGGUUUUUUCCAGUUGUGGAAGCAUAAGAAAGUUCUUGGCAUCGUGUCGCUCGCGGCCAUAACAGGGUCGUGAGGAGAGAGAGAGAACGAGUCAACUUUGUGAAAUGUUCAAGGUUAUUCACCACUUUUCAGGUCUUCGCAAAAUGACAAUCUAGAAAACGUGGUUACCGAUCUUCUGGAUGGUCUGGAUGCUAAUGAGAAGCUUCUGAGGGGUCGAGCAGACCCCUGCCUAACAAAAGACCUUCACAGUCUUCUCCUCUAUAGCUAUUAUCUAUUUAAUGCUUUCAUUAUAUUCCUAGCAAUGUUUAUAGUAUUGUCAUAUUGUUAUUUAGAAAAAUGGGCACCAGCAGCAAAUUCCAUGAACCAACAUAAACGCGUCGUUUAGAUUAUACAUUCGCUGGCUUUGAUUAUUCUAUUCACAGUGGACAGAAUAGAAUUGCUUUUGUUUUUCACCCGUUUGCUUUUUGUAAAAUUGUGCUGAAAGAUAUACAGUCAAAGCAAGCCGGUCUUGGUGACUUUGACUUUGACUUUGCCUUUGCUUCUCGGAGAAGUUAAUGUUGGCUUACUGGAGAUUGAGCAUGCUAAGAAGCUUCUUAGGAGCCCGUGAACGUUCGAAGUGAUUCUUGGCUCGCAAUCUAGUUCCAUUUACUUAAUAAUUAACCUUGAUUUUAAGAAAAACAUUAGAAAAUGGGGAUGAUAAUCGUGAGAAUACUAAUUAACGAUCCUGUUCAAUUCCCCUUGUACAAUUCCUCCCUCGCAACUGCUAACGCAGAAAAAUUCGGCUCCUUUCAUGUAUGAACGUGUUAGAUGUUGGAAUUUUGUUUGUUAAAACAAAAUGAGUGUUUUUUACUUUGUCCCACAUAGAAAAGGUGGGAGCAUGAGGGCCAGUUUAAAAAUGUGGGAUUUCCCUUUUGUAAUUAAAGGAGUGAUUAGGUGGGGCUAGACCCCACCAUACCCGCUUGCGGGUGCGCGAUUAUUUGGCGCCCGCGGUUUAAUUAGCAUUAAUCCCUUGCUUUUUAUUUAUUUAUUUUUAUUUUAAUUUAUAUUUUUUGGUUCAAAGGUUGCCUUUUAAUUUGAGAAUUUCGAAAAUGAAAUAUAAAUGAAAAUUCGAAAUUCUAUUUAAAAAAAAAAUUAUUCCGAAUUUUAUUUGUGUCUUUUCAAGAUCACCUUUGGAAAAUUACUUAUUCGGUUUUAAUUUUUCCGAAGGAUUGUAAUUGUUCGUUUUUCGACUUCUUCCGAAGAGUCGCAUUUGUUUAUCCGAACAAUUUUCUAAAGACGUGUUUGUUCGCAAUUUUCACGAAGAGUUGCAAGACUGUUUCUUAUAUAUACUUGUCAUUUUUCGGAAAGAAAAUGGUGGUCAUUUUCGAGUCUUCUUUAUGAAAAACUGCAGCCAAUUUUUCGAUUGUUUUCCUAGAGAGACCCUGGAGAAAUACUAAAAUUGCUAUUUAGUAUUCUCAUCCGAGACUUUGUUGUAUCUUGGAAGAUUUUUGCCGGUGACCAUUAGCAACGUUGUGGGGCAAAUAAAUCCUUAAAGAAAGUGAUAUCACGCCUCAAAGUCCGAGUUGUUUUACUCGAUCCGAUUUCAUUGUACUACCCAAUUUCGAAGCAUAUUUUCCUAACAUUAGACACCAAAAAAUGCCGAGUCUUUGACCAUUGACUCGGACUAGAAGAGAAUGAACACAAUUCGACAGAAGAAAAAUUGCCUGAGUGUUGAAAGCUUUUAGUUGGCAAAUUUAGUUAAUCGACGAGAAAACUAGUUUUAACUGACAGAAAAUACGAUUUAAGAUAAUUAAGUUUAGGAGUAUACUGGCGACAAGUAAGGUUGACUCUAUGACAAAAGGCCACGAAUGAUGUAGCUGUUGACAGAGUGAUGAUGGAGUAACCAUUUAAGUGUUGGAGCCAACAAUUUUGGAUGUAACUUGUCAUGAAGAUAACCGCAAAAGGGGAAACUUAAUGCAACCAUCGAGUAGUGGAGUGAAGUAGCGGAGUCAAGAAGUUCGUGAGAAACUGAUUGUGACAAUUGUAGAGAAGUGGAGGAGACAUAACUAUCGAAGUAAUGGGGAUGACACAACCGUUGAUGUAGUGAAGACAUAGCCAUCAAAAUGAAGUGGAUUCCUUUUGUAAAUAGAGAUUGCUAAAUUGUAAGUCAUGUAGGGUGUGUUUUUUUUUUUUUUACACUGUUGUUAACUAUCAGUAGCAGACUAGUAGGUACAGACACUUGUACUGUAGGGGAGAAGAGAAUGUUGAUUAAUUUAAAAACACUAGCUGUUUAAUUUUAUCUUCCUGUUUAUAUUUGAAUUUCCAGCACCUUUACAUGAUUAGACAAGAUUGUCUUCAUUCUUAGUACUUUUAACUUUCACGUCGUUUGUGUUGCCUAUCCAAGAAUUAAGAAAGGACCUUUCAUGUGGCAUGGUUUAUAUCUUUUCGUCAUUCGGAAAGGAUGGACUCAUAAAAAUAUUUGUCCUUCUGCCAAUUGUAUCCUAUAAGUUACAGUUUGGUAAGAUCACUCGGUUCUUGUACUUAGUUGCCUCAUCCGGUGUCUCUACUUCAAUUCUUUUGUUUACUACAUUCGCCAUUCCGUUGUAGGUCGAUCCGCUUGAGCUCCAAUUCAUUACCUACCCCCCCCCCCCCCCCCAAAAGUUUGUAGGGAGUUUACUUGGUGAUGAAUAAGAUGUUCAUCUUUUCUCAUAAAUGUAAAAUCAUUUAUAAAGUCUUCCUAGACAUGAAAAUAUCCAUUACUAGUACUAACCAAAAUUUGCUAUAAAGUGGGGGGAUAGUACUCAAAGCCUUGUUACAGAGCAAGUAUAAUACUAUAAAGAAACCAUGACGCUCACUUUAACACUAUAAAGUACUACUACAUGCCAUGACCAAAUUCAUUAUUCUUGCAUGAACAUUAGCGCAUCUGGAUGCCGGUUAGAACCGUUCGUGGAUCUUCCAUUUGCUCGGGCGAAAUUUCUACUUCUUUUGCUUAACAAAGCCAUUGCCAUAAGCUUCAAACUCAGCCAAUCUUCCACGGGCUUUGUUCUUUUUAUAAUCACUUUCCGACACUAUUUCGACCUUCUGCUGAGGAAGAUCAUCCAGACAGUGGCCGAGCGGAGCCCUGUUUCAAGCUCCGUUGAUCGGACACUACUUCAACCUUCUGCCGAGGAAGAUUGUUCUGGUUCUGGCCAAGCAGAGCCCCCUUUCGGAUUCAUUAAAGGUCCGCCCAUUCAUAAAGGUAAUCAUCGGAGGUGGUGUUCC